UACGUAGGGUGCAAGCGUUGUCCGGAAUUAUUGGGCGUAAAGAGCUCGUAGGCGGUUUGUCGCGUCUGCUGUGAAAACUCAGGGCUUAACCCUGAGCCUGCAGUGGGUACGGGCAGACUAGAGUGUGGUAGGGGGAGAUCGGAAUUCCUGGUGUAGCGGUGGAAUGCGCAGGAUAUCAGGAGGAACACCGGGUGGCGAAGGCGGAUCUCUGGGCCAUAACUGACGCUGAGGAGCGAAAGCAUGGGGAGCGAACAGG
rnacentral:rRNA from 1 species